rnacentral:ncRNA from 1 species
ACUCUCGGGGCAGGGCGCAAUUCCCUACCGGCGGUGAUCCGGCGCAGGCCGGAAAGCCCGCGAGCGUUCCCGCGCGCAAAAGCGCGCGGCGCAGAUUCGGUGCGAUUCCGAAGCCGACGGUAAAGUCCGGAUGAAAGAGAGA